CCCGCUUCGUUUCAGUCAGUAGUUUGUGACUUGUUCUUUUGUUCAUGUUGUAAGUAGUAUUGAUUUACAAUUUACACAUUUAGCAGGAGCAGCAAUGUGUGGAACACCGCUUCGCAGUGGUGCUACGAUCGGCCAAUUCUUCGAAUUCAAUUAAGAAUAUGUUCAGCAUCCGCAAGUAUGGGGUAAUUCCAUGAAAUAGCGCUGUUUGCAGUUUGCGCACCUACUAUAAGACGGUCGCUGCUCAACACUGCAGAUCCAUUCCAUUUGAAAUGGAAAUUCUCAGCCAUCGUUAACUUCUUUCUGCACUCUCAACAGACAUAGGAAUCUUCACCGAUGGUUCUAACGAUGGGACCACAGCCCCCAAUGGUACGCCAGCAACAACCGAUUCUUCUGAUACUUCGGACCCACCGACACCACCCAUCAAGAAGCGGAAGACACUUUGAAGACCUUGACAGCUGGAAUUUUGAAGGAAGUGGGAGCACGGAACGAAAUGCAGAGCGACGCCACCUUGCGAUGCAUUCGCGUGACGACAUUACCUUCACAAUAAUUUGCCUUGAAGAAC
rnacentral:sRNA from 1 species